AACGAACGCUGGCGGCAUGCCUAACACAUGCAAGUCGAACGAGACUUUCGAGUCUAGUGGCGCACGGGUGCGUAACGCGUGGGAACCUGCCCUUAGGUUCGGAAUAACUCCCCGAAAGGGGUGCUAAUACCGGAUAAUGUCUUCGGACCAAAGAUUUAUCGCCUUUGGAUGGGCCCGCGUUGGAUUAGCUAGUUGGUAGGGUAAAAGCCUACCAAGGCGACGAUCCAUAGCUGGUCUGAGAGGAUGAUCAGCCACACUGGGACUGAGACACGGCCCAGACUCCUACGGGAGGCAGCAGUGGGGAAUAUUGGACAAUGGGCGAAAGCCUGAUCCAGCAAUGCCGCGUGAGUGAUGAAGGCCUUAGGGUUGUAAAGCUCUUUUACCCGGGAUGAUAAUGACAGUACCGGGAGAAUAAGCUCCGGCUAACUCCGUG
rnacentral:rRNA from 1 species